CAUGAGCAAAAUGCUCAUACACAUAAGAUAAUUAAAUAAAUCAAAAAAUAACUAAAAAAAAAGGAACAAAGAGAAAUUUGUUCCUCCUGCAGAAGCCAAGGAUAGACUUUGCUCAUCUUCAUCCAGGUCCAAAUGAUACCACGAGAUUUGUCUUGUGUCCAUCUCACUGCUCUACAAUCUUCUGUGAUGGUGAAAUUCUCAGAGUCCUUUUGUGCCCUGAUGACAUCACAGAACACGGUGUCACAAACUGCACCCUUCAAAUUACAAGUCUAUUUUGACCAAGACGUCUCUCCCUCCGUCCUGCCGUUUUCUUGUUCACUGUCCACGACUUGGUGUUUUCAGCUCGAGGUUGCACAUGCCACUCGAGAUUCGGGGAAUGUCCUUAGUGAUUAAAACCUUGUACAAUCAUCAGGGACAUAAGUAGAAGUAACUCGGUCCUCAGC
ensembl:lincRNA Gm44944 predicted gene 44944